AUUGAACGCUGGCGGCAGGCCUAACACAUGCAAUUCGAGCGAGCGGCGGACUGGUGAGUAAUGUAUGGGGACUGCCCGAUAGAGGGGGAUAACUACUGGAAACGGUGGCUACUACCGCAUACUAUCGGAUAACCCAUAUGGGAUUAGCUAGUCGGUGGGGUAAAGGCUCACCUAGGCGACGAUACCUAGCUGGUCUGAGAGGAUGACCAGCCACACUGGGAUUGAGACACGGUCCAGACUCCUACGGAGGCAGAAGUGGGGAAUAUUGCACAAUGGGCGCAAGCCUGAUGCAGCCAUGCCGCGUGUAGGAAGAAGGCCUUAGGGUUGUAAAGUACUUUCAGCGGGGAGGCGUUACCCGCAGAAGAAGCACCGGCUAACUCCGUGCCAGCAGCCGCGGUAAUAC
rnacentral:rRNA from 1 species